rnacentral:rRNA from 1 species
UUGAGAGUUUGAUCCUGGCUCAGGAUGAACGUUGGCGGCGUGUCUAAGGCAUGCAAGUCGAGCGACGUACCUACCUUCGGGUAGGAAUACGAGCGGCAGACGGGAGAGUAACACAUUGGUAACCUACCUCCGAGACGGGAAUAGCUACGGGAAACCGUAGAUAACGCCCGAUAGUCAUGAGGGGACGUAAAGUCAUUCUCAUGUAAAUAAUUUAUUGCUCGGAGAGGGGCCUAUGUCUGAUUAGUUUGUUGGUGAGGUAAUGGCUCACCAAGACGAUGAUCAGUACCGGGCGUGAGAGCGUGACCCGGCUCACUGGGACUGAGACACUGCCCAGACUCCUACGGGAGGCUGCAGUCAAGAAUAUUCCACAAUGCACGAAAGUGUGAUGGAGCGACGCCGCGUGCAGGAAGACGCCCUUCGGGGUGUAAACUGCUUUUAUGUGGGAAGAAUUUGUGACGGUACCACAUGAAUAAGAGGUUGCUAACUCUGUGCCAGCAGCAGCGGUAAUACAGAGACCUCAAACGUUAUCCGGAUUCAUUGGGCGUAAAGCGUCCGCAGGUGGUUUUUUAAGUUGGUGGUCAAAUUUUCGGGCUUAACUCGGAAACUGCCACCAAUACUGGAAAACUUGAGGCUGGGAGAGGCACACGGAACUGUCGGUGUAGUAGUAAAAUGCGUUGAUAUCGACAGGAACACCAAAGGCGAAGGCAGUGUGCUAGAACAGUCCUGACACUCAUGGACGAAAGCGUGGGGAGCGAAGGGGAUUAGAUACCCCCGUAGUCCACGCCGUAAACGAUGUCUACUAGGUAUUGGCAGUAUCGACCCUGUCAGUGCCGUUCAAAAAAGCUAACGCGUUAAGUAGACCGCCUGGGGAGUACGGCCGCAAGGUUAAAACUCAAAGGAAUAGACGGGGACCCGCACAAGCGGUGGAUCAUGUGGUUUAAUUCGAUGAUACGCGGCAAACCUCACCAAGGCUUGACAUGUAGCUGCAAGCUCCCAGAAACGGGAGCCGCCUUCGAGGGCGCUACACAGGUGCUGCAUGGUUGCCGUCAGCUCGUGCCGUGAGGUGUACCCUUUAGUGGGGUAACGAGCGCAACCCUCGUGUUGUGUUAAAUGUACACAACAGACUGCCCGGGUAACCGGGAGGAAGGUGGGGACGACGUCAAAUCAGCAUGGCUCUUACGCCUUGGGCUACACACAUGAUACAAUGGCUGGUACAAUGGGCUGCCAACCCGCGAGGGGGAGCUAAUCCCAAAAAGCCAGUCUCAGUUCGGAUUGUAGGCUGAAAUUCGCCUACAUGAAGGUGGAAUCGCUAGUAAACGCGCAUCAGCACGGCGCGUUGAAUACGUUCUCGGGUCUUGUACUCACCGCCCGUCAUACCACGAAAGUUGGCAACAUCCGAAGGCUCUUUUUUAAGGGACGAAGGUGGGGUCAAUGAUCAGGGUAAAGUCGUAACAAGGCAUCCGUAGCGGAAGCUGUGGAUGGAUCACCUCCUUUCU